AUUCACCCCUCUCUCCUUUUUUUUCUCUCCCUCACGAGUCACGAGCGCAUCCUCGGCGGCGGCGGCGGCGUCGUCGCCGAGGCUAUCGUCGGAGGUGUCCUCGGCGUCGUCCCGGCCGCCGCCGGCGCCGCCUCCGUUGAGCAUGAGCCGCUCGCCCCGGCGGUGCUCGGAGCGCUGCGAGACCCUGGGGCCCCCGGCGCUGUCCCCGCUGCCGCCGCCGUUGCUCCUGAGGCGCCUCCGCGGCGGUGCCCCGCUCGCGACGGACAUGCCGCCUCUCCUGCUGCCCCGGAUCCUGUCCAUCUCAGAUGUGAGACAUGCGGCGCCGAUUCCCAGCAAAUCACCGCCACCUCGCCGGAUUCCGACGAGCACCGCCGCCGCGCCACAGAUCCGGAGAGCAGCGCCUUGGGAAUCCUCGUGAAUCUAGCACCGCCGCCGAGGACUCGGCGGAGGAGAGAGCGUGGCCACAGGAGCGGCCGCAGCGGAGGCGGGUGCUGGUAGCAUCGCCCGUGGAGCCGGCUGCCGCGGAUUCAAGGACGAACUCCGCAGCUGGCACGCAGACGCACAGCACAGGAAGUACUCCGUCUGUGACAAUCGGUGGCCGCGCGUGCGAUUCCAUUCUUCGAGACUAAAUCUCUUUUCUUUUUUUGAAUGAACAUAUCUCCUGUUCUCUCCUGCAAUUUCUUUGCUGAUGCAUGUUUUGGCAUCAAAAGCGUUGUGAACAGACAUAAAAUUUUCAUCUUUUUGUUAUUGUUUCUUGUCAGAUUCAGAACUCCAAAAUCCAUUGUUAUCCUUUUGCUAUUGUUUCUUGUCAGAUUCAAAAAUCCAAAAUCUAGAUAUGGAACUCCAAGUUUCAACUGAUGUUUCUUAUUUCAGAUAGUUUGUGUUCAUUCUUGUCUCUUGUUCCUUCUUGAUUCUUGUUUAGAAUGAUCCAAUCCUAAAUUGUAUUUGAAACUUUUGACAAGAAAAGUCAGCUCAGGAAAAAAAAGAUGGUAAUUGGAUUUGUACAGAAAGUAUUUCUUGAAUAAAAUGCUAGAAAUUUAUCUAGCUAUGAUUUACAGUAGAUAUCA
rnacentral:lncRNA from 1 species